rnacentral:rRNA from 1 species
UUAAGUCCCGCAACGAGCGCAACCCUCGUUCCAUGUUGCCAGCACGUAAAGGUGGGGACUCAUGGGAGACUGCCGGGGUCAACUCGGAGGAAGGUGGGGAUGACGUCAAAUCAUCAUGCCCCUUAUGUCUUGGGCUUCACGCAUGCUACAAUGGCCGGUACAAUGGGUUGCGAUACUGUGAGGUGGAGCUAAUCCCUAAAAGCCGGUCUCAGUUCGGAUUGAGGUCUGCAACUCGACCUCAUGAAGUCGGAGUCGCUAGUAAUCGCAGAUCAGCAACGCUGCGGUGAAUACGUUCCCGGGCCUUGUACACACCGCCCGUCAAGUCACGAAAGUUGGUAACACCCGAAGCCGAUGGCCUAACCACCUUGUGUGGAGGGAGUCGUCGAAGGUGGGACUG